rnacentral:tRNA from 1 species
GGACCCUGGCUCAGAGGCAGGUCAUCUGCUUGGCACGCAGAAGGUCCCAGGUUCAGUCCCAGGCAUCUCCA